rnacentral:rRNA from 1 species
UACGGGGGGGGCAAGCGUUGUUCGGAAUUACUGGGCGUAAAGGGCGCGUAGGCGGUCAGACCAAGUCGAGUGUGAAAGUCCAGGGCUCAACCCUGGGAUGCCGGUCGAUACUGCCGGACUAGAGUUCGGAAGAGGCGAGUGGAAUUCCCGGUGUAGCGGUGAAAUGCGCAGAUAUCGGGAGGAACACCAAUGGCGAAGGCAGCUCGCUGGGACGUUACUGACGCUGAGACGCGAAAGCGUGGGGAGCAAACAGG